UUCACAGUACCCCAUUUAUAUACCUAUAAUUCUUUACCGGCCCAAUUGGCGUCCCACGUUUUCAUUUCUUUUUUCCCUCUUUCUUCCCCCUUUGGCUUCUCUGGGCACCGGAGCUGCGGAGCAGUAGCAGCAAAGCAGGAGGAGCCCACGCCCGUCGGGUUCAUCGACCUCCCGGUAACUUGUUUGACGGAAUGCUUCAGGGGGGCGGAGGGCAUGGGCCGCCGGGGGACGGGUCCCCGGGGACGUCCGGCGGGGGAGACGGCAGUGCCCGCGACCGCAAUUUGCUUGACGUAAUGCGCCAGGAGGGCGGAGGGCAGGGGACGCCCGGCGGGGGUGGAGGUGGCGGUGGCGGGGGAGGCGGCGGUGGCCGAGGCUUUUCCCACGACCGCAUCAGCGACCUCCCGGACGAGCUGUGCCACCACGUCAUGUCCUUCCUCAAGGCGUGGGAGGUGGUCCGCAUGAGCGCGCUCUCGAGGCGGUGGCGCCACACGUGGGCCUCCGCGCCGUGCCUCGACAUCCGCCACCCCUGCGCCUGCGACAACCGCGCCGACCAUAGGUGGUACAACACGUUCGUCAACAACCUGCUGCUCAGGAGGAGCCCCGGCGUGCCGCUGGACACGCUCCGCCUGAGCUGGACCCACGAUGGCGCCUCCGACAUGUGGACCGCCCAUGCCGUCAGGCGCCACGCCAGAGCCAUCGAGUUCUCCGGGGCGCGGCACUACCCGAGGCCGGAGCCAGCGUACACGAGCUUCUUGUUCGGAAAUUUCAAGAUCUUGAAGCUCACCCGUGUCAAGAUGCGUAGCGAGCUGCUCGCGCAACUCUGUUCUAGGUGCACUUGCUUGGAAGAACUGGAGCUCAAGGACAGUAACAUACAUGGACAUGGCGUUACGGUUCGAUCAGGCUCCCUCAGGCGUUUGACUAUGGUCAGCUGCUUCGCCCCUAAGGGCCUCUUGGUUGAUGCUCCGGGCCUCGUCUUGAUGCGCUGCACCAGACCUUACAAUUUUGUUCCCAAGAUCAGGAACUCGGGCUCACUGGUGACUGCCACUAUUAUGCUUGAUGACACUUGCUUGUUUCGUCAUGAUGGUGAUGAACGGCCACAUAUGGAGGACCACGGAGAUGACGAUGAUGUCUGCUUCGCUUAUGCUGAUGGUCAGAAUCCUGAUGACAGUGAAUCUGCAGAAUCUCAUGCUGAGGACCCUGACUGCACUGAAUCUGGUAAUGAUGACCAUACUGCGGACCAUGGUGGAACUGCCAGUGUGUAUCCAAGUCUGAAUGGUGAUUACUGUGGGAGCAAUGCUAUUACAGUUUUUGGUGGCAAUGGCAUUCUUCGAAGCCUCUCCAAUGUGAGAACAAUGGAGCUGUUAGCUCAUCGAGGAGAGGUUCUGCUGAGGAGUCAAUUGAGGAAGUGCCCUUUGUUCAAAAACCUCAAGACACUGUCGCUUGGUGAAUGGUGUAUAGGCCCUGACUUUGAUGCAUUGUCAACCAUUCUUGAGCAUUCACCCAACUUAGAGAGGCUUUAUCUCUGCCUCGACAAGGCCUACAAGAGCAGAGGCGAAAUCAAUCCAAGUGGGAGACCGUUUACUUGCAAUCACUUGAAGAUGGUCGAUAUCAUAUGUUUGACGGAUGACACGAUGGGAGAUAAGUUGGCAGAAUUCUUCCACGCUACAAGUGGUUUUGUCUUUAUCCUCAGAAUGGCAACAGCACCACAGGCUCACGGGAGGCGCACAUGGCGCAGGACGAAGCUGUGGAGGGUUCUGCAAAGAGCGUACGAGAAAGCCAGAGCCGGGAGUGAGGGAAAGGUGGUGCAGGAACAAGGUCCAUGUAAGUAAUACUACUGUGGUUGAUGCAAGUAAUCUGCUUCCAGCUGUGGUGUCGAGGUAAAACGGCAACCGGGACGCAUUGAGCAGACUCUGAACACAGAAAAACAGCAGAAUUCUCAGCCGCUCUCCGUGGAUCGGUUGGUGGAGGAGCGGAACACCUCGGGGUCAGCGGAGGAGCGGUUUAAUAUGCUUUGCUCAAGGUCAAAAGCUACAGUGUUGACAUCGAGCCAAGCCAAAUCAGCAGCACCAAGGUCAGCAGCGCGCAUAGGAAAGCCCCGGCGACCUCCGCCGGCGAGCUCCAUCCCUGCGGGGCGAUCGACCAACGAGCAGGCUCCGCCGCCACCCCGCGCCAGAUUUAUUGAAGGUAUCUUCAACAGUUGGGACAUUGCUGAUUCAGGGCCAGGCAUUUUUGUUUGUGGCUGUGAACCUCCUACGAUGCAUGGGUGAUGAGGCUGAAUUCGCGGCUGAUCAAAUUACACAAACCAAAACCUCUGAUGCCAGCAAAAAGAGAAGAUCAGAGUCCACGGUGUGGGAGGAAUUCACCAAGCUGUCAAAUGGUCAACAGGCAGAGUGUAAACAUUGUCUAAAGCGGCUCAGCGGAAAGAGUACAGGAGGAACAAGCCAUUUGUCCCGGCAUCUGAAGAUCUGCCCUGCACGACCUGGAAACACCAGCAAGCAGCCACAGGCUCCUGAAGCGCCCUCUAGGCCUACAGUCUCGAACCUUUGCUCGUUUCCAAUCAUGAGCAGUGCAGGUUUUAGGCAGGCUUUGGCUGGCAUCUAUCAUCCUACUUCUAGCAUGAUACCACAGAACGUCACUGAAGGACAGUUUAUCACUAUGUUUCGUAAUGAGAGGCUGAAACUGAAGGAUAAAAUAGCAUCUGCUCCCGGCGGAGUUUUUUUGUCAGUUAGAAGAUGGGACCUUGAAGAGAGCAUUUUUGAAUGUCUUGCAGUGCAUUUUAUUGAUGCAGAAUGGAAGAUACAUAGAAGAAUCAUCAGAUAUCGCUUGUCAAUGCUUGGACAUGCCGAUCCUGGACACUACAUCAGCAUCUUUCCCAUUCGGCAAAACUCCAGCCAUCCCAUCAGUGUUUUAUCAAAGGAAACAGUAGUUGAAUACAGUCUUAUGGAUAAGCUUCUGGGAAUUGCAUUGGAACAUUUAACGGAUGUUACAAUUACGGGGCGCUUGGAGAAUAUCCUUACAGGGAAGAACUAUCUUCUAGCCAAAUGUAAGUUGAUAACUAUGCAAUGUUCCGUAGAUGUGCUUCAUAGGAUCUUCGGAUAUGAGCUGAAUGACGUCAUCCUGGAAACGGGUCAAAAAUGGCUUAGCUACAUGACAUGCUCAGCGAGAAAUAUCAACAACUUCUUUCGCACAUGUGUCUACCCAGACCCUCUUUGGCUUCGGUGAUGUGGUACCCGACUUUCUACCUAAUGGAGGCUCUGUUGGAGUUCAAUAAGGAAUUUCCAAACCCUGAACAGAUGGACUCCAAAUCAUAUCCGCCCAAACCACCUUUUGAGACAAUAGAAGCAGCUGAAAGUUUCUGUCAGGUUGCAAGGCCAAUUUAUCAUGCAAUCAGAGUACUUUCCAAUCCUCGUAUGACUCUCAAUUCAUGUUUCCAUGCACUCUGGAGCGUGAGGGCAGCUCUGCAAGAGUCAUCUGGAAAUAUAUGCAUGGAGCGUGUUCUUGAUAUCGAGGACAUGUUGGAAACUUUUGAUAAACAUUGGAGAAAGGUGUACUUGUGGCUGUCUCUGGCCGUCGUGCUAGAUCCCAGAUAUAAGAUGAGGUUCCUUGAACAUUUCUUUAGACAAGCGUACGGUAAUGGUGCCAGAAUGUACAUCUCUGAAGUGCGGGGAAAGAUUUACGAGCUAUUUAUCCGAUACUCUUGCUGUGCUGAUCAACCAAGCACAAACAACGAUAUGCAGAUGAAUACUCAUGUCAGUGAUCCAUUAGAUGGCACAGGUCAGAAUUACAAUGAACUAGGAGUCAGUGAAGGCUAUCUAAGAGAACUCCAUGUGUACCUAGAUGGAGAGCUCUGCCCUCCAAAUGAUGUCAACUAUCUAAGCAUGGAAGCCUUGUCUCAGGAUGUCCAUUUUAAUAUCCUGAAAUGGUGGAAAGACAAUGCUUCCAUAUAUCCAGCUCUUGCUGCGCUCGCACGCGAUGUCUUAGUAAUACCUGGAUGUGCAGUGUCGGCUGAAUCUGCAUUUGAUAAAAGUGACGAACGUGCGCAUAUGUUCUAUCGACAGCUAAGUCACGAGAUUGUGGAAGCUGUCAUCUGCACUCAGGAUUGGUCCAAGAUUCAGGAAUGAGCGAUGGCGAUGGUGGGAUCUGCAGUAUGCCUAUUUAACUUGUGGGUGAGGUUAUUUUCCUGUCUUUCUUAUGAUUCCCGCUAAGCCUUAUUUUCAACACAGUUUCCAAGAGGCCUUAUGUAAAGUUUUCUGUUUGAGUACUUCCGAUGUCUUUCUUGCUGCUGGUAUUGUAAUGUGAUGCUGGUAUUGUACUUGUGCUACGGGUAUUCUAGUCGUUGCUGCUGCUGUGCACCAUGGUUGUAACCAAUACGGCAUUUAGCCGCGUUCAGUGAGAAGUUUGGAAUGCCUUGCUGAUGUUAACUCUGUAGUAAUUUGCAUAUUUUGCCUAAAUGUAAACGAAGGGAGAAAGUUUUACAGGGAUUAUCA